CAGAGUUGCAAAACUCCCAAAACCAUUGUGAACCUUACCUUUAACCGUUGCUUCGGCGGGCGGGCCCUGCGCCCCCCGGGCCCCCUCGCGGGGGGCGCCCGCCGGAGGUCUCCCAAACUCUUGAUACCAUGUGGCCUCUCUGAGUAUUCUGUACUGAAUAAGUCA
rnacentral:misc_RNA from 1 species